rnacentral:tRNA from 1 species
UUGGGUGGAGCUCAGUGGUACAGCACAUGCCUGGCAUGUGUGAGGCCCUGAGUUCAAUCUCCAGUUCCAAAA